UACGUAGGGUGCGAGUGUUGUUCGGAAUUACUGGGCGUAAAGCGCGUGUAGGCGGCUAUUUAAGUCGGGUGUGAAAGCCCUCAGCCUAACUGAGGAAGUGCAUUCGAAACUGGAUGGCUUGAGUGUGUAGGGGAAGGUGGAAUUCCUAGUGUAGAGGUGAAAUUCGUAGGUACUAGGAGGAAUACCGGUGGCGAAGGCGACCUUCUGGUCCACAACUGACGCUCAAAUGCGAAAGCGU
rnacentral:rRNA from 1 species